rnacentral:piRNA from 1 species
UGUGAUGUGACCCGCACCACCCUGCC